AUGCAAAUUUCACUGCCUUUUUUCUACAUAUCAACAGAAAAGAUAAUUCCUAUGUGCUAGACAAAACUUUAGAGGUAAAUUACCAGCAAGACCAAUUUUACUAUUGCUGCUAGUCACCUUGACAUACAU
rnacentral:snoRNA from 1 species